AUGGACCAGCAAGUGUUCCUCGGCGUCUCCUGGGGCAAUUUGCUCACCUACAUGAAGCGCAACAGCGGCAUGGAUCCCGACAUGGAUCCCGACAUGGGCGACUACUAUAACGUGGUGCUCUCCUUCGUGUACGACUACAUCCCCGACCCCCCGUCUCCCCCAUCGCCACACUCCCGCUCUCCGGCUUGCCGUGGGUCCCCGACGGCGUCGACCGCAUCAGCUGCCUCCCGGACAAGCCACCUGCUCCCGGACGGCGGAGCGCGCGGUCAGCUCCUCUUCGGUGGUCCUUCUCCCCGCGCCGUCACCGCCGCGGUGUCCCGCGUCCUGGUGGCGCACCCGGGUCCCUUCCGCUGCGUCCACCUCACCCGCACCACCAUGGAUGAGCACCGGGGUGAGAUGGCGCGCUGGCUCGACAUCCUCGUCGCCAAGGGGGUCCAAGAACUCGUUUUUGUCAACCGCCCUUGGCCGCUAGAUCCGCGCCUCCCCGCCACGCUCUUCAGCUGCGCCUCCCUCACCCGCCUCUAUCUCGGCAUCUGGAGGCUCCCGGAAUCCACCGCCGUACCGCGCGGCGCUAGAUUUCCCAACCUCCGGGAGCUCGGCCUCUGCAUGAUUGCGAUGAAGGACCGUGAUCUGGCCUUGCUGCUGGAAAGAAGCCCCGUCUUGGAGUUCCUCCUCAUCAUGGGAUGUCAGAUCGGAGUGCGCCUCCGCCUCGUCAGCCAAAGCCUGCGGUGCCUUCAGCUCAGCAUGUUCUUCUUGGGCGACAUGGACGUGGUGGAUGCCCCUUGUCUGGAGAGACUUUUUCAGUAUUAUUACACUUACACCAACAAAAACUGCUCCACUUCCAGGAUCAAGAUUGGUGGAGCACCUAACCUGCGAAUGCUGGGAUACCUUGAGCCAGGAGGGCAGGAAUUCAAUUUGGCUGGGAGCAAGGAGAGCAUCGUCCAGAUUUUGGGCAUAGAGGUGCAGUUCGGUGUGCGCAGUGUUGUCAAGAAAGUGCCUGGCUUUCUCAGAUGCUUCCCCAACCUGGAGACGCUCCACGUGCAGUCUCACCACAUAUCUGAAGAGCCCACCAGGAAGGUCAAUGUCAAGUUCUGGCUGCAGGGCGGUCCCAUCAAAUGCGUCGUGGAGAGCAUGAGGAAGGUGUUCUUGUACGAGUUCCGAGGGUCGAGAAGCGAGGUUACUUUCCUCAAGUUCGUCGCGGAGAGGGCUCGGGUGCUGGAGCAGAUGGUGGUCGUGGUGUCCACCAAAUCUUUCUCUCCAGGGGAUGAUGUGAGUGCCAAGCUGAAGCCUCUGACCAAUGCAAAAUGGGCGAGUAAAGCUUGCAAACUUGAGCUCUUCAAGAGCCCACCCGCUCAAUGCGGUGUGGCACCCUUCUGUCACAGGCUAGCAAAUGAUUUCUCGUUCCCGGACCCUUUUAACGUCAAAGAUUACUGUGAAGAAAGAAUCGCCGAGUUAACUGUAGUACAGUAG
rnacentral:rRNA from 1 species